GAAACAGAAACGGAGUCAUCAGAUUGCUCACAGUGGCCAAAUCUUGCCCUAAAGUCAAAGCUCUGAAGCACUGCACUAAAGAGCUCUUGGAACACCCGUGGAUUCCCAAGGAAAGGAAUGGAUAAAGUGAAGCCAUGAUGACCUUGUUGAAUCCAGCCAUUCUGCAAGUGCCUGUUUUGACUUUAGGGAUGGAAGUCCUUCCAGGCAUGCCAAGAGGGAAGGAAACAUGGCAGGUGCACUGGCUUUGAAGUUGCCGUGGUGGUUGCAAUCCUGCAUCUGUCUGUUCCUGAUGGGUAGAGGAAAAUGUGAUUUGGAGACAUAGACACACAUGGAGUGUGACGAUGGAGGCAGCGAGUGGAGCGAUGCAGCUGCCAGCUGAGGAGUGCCAAGGGUUGAUGG
rnacentral:lncRNA from 1 species